CUAAAAUGAUGAGCUUUCACUUCUGGUCCGUGUUUAUGACCUCAGUGAUUUUUCUUAGGAAGUUCUGACUCA